GCGCCUGCGUAAGCUGACUGUUGACAGAGGCUUCACUGUUCUCCACUAGAACAGAAAUGUAUUCUCCUUUUCAUUAACAGAGGAAGUAAAAUCUGCCAAUCAUGGCAAAUUACAUGAAUGAUUCUGUGAAGGCUAAACCAAGAUCGCCAAACUCAUUUUCAUGCGUGGCUAAACACAGAAUUGAACCUCGUGCUCCAGAAGUGAAAGAUCCACGCAUUCCUGAAUCCAGUUCCUGAAUCCAGCUCCCUCCUGCUGCUGAGUUCACCAUGCCUGCUCUGCAGCAUCUGUGGUGAUGUAGUCAUCAAUGCGGUCAUCAAAACCCCCACCAAACCUGUAAUGAAAA